CUGGAUUGCAGCUGCUUGCUUAUGUGAAUACGGUCCACAAAAUGGAUGUCUAGAUUGCAGUUAAUCAAAUCAAACACCAGAUAACACUUUUUGUUUGGUGCUUCCAAAGCAAGUUGCUGCCAAGUCCAGUCAUCAUUCUAAACCAUUUUUAAAAGAGGCUUCUGCAGCUGCCUGGCUCUGGUGAGGCUUCUAAUGAGACCAUCAAGCUUCAGACCAUCAUGCAGCAAGGGCUCUAGCCAGUUCCAGGUGAAGACCCCACCCCGGGCCAUCAAGGAGCUUCCCUGCCUCCACUAGACAGAGCAGAGUGAGAGUUCCAUGAUCCCCAAUAGGUAGGGGCUAUGCCUCAAGCCAGCAUGAAGCAGUUACAGAAAAAAAGACCAUCAGUUCCUCUGCCUCCCAUGGGGAUCACAUCUUUCAGCAGGGAGAUGAGGCAUAAAAACAAGGUCUGGAGGCAGGGAAUUCAAGGCCGAUUCACACUUCAGCUAUGACAGGAAAUAUCCUCUCCAUAGGGUAUAGGCCAAGUAAAUGACUUUGUAACUUUACUCCUCAUUUUCAUAGGUUGCACCCCAAGUAAGCAAUGGAAUCCUCUAGAGGGUAUUUCCCCAAAAUUCUGUAAUGGGGUCCUUGAGCCCCUAUGCUCGGGCCCACUCCCACACUGUGGAGUGUACUUUCAUUUUCAAUAAAUCCCUCAUUUCUUCCUUGCUCUGUUUGUGCAUUUUGUCCAAUUCUUUGUUCAAGACGCCAAGAACCUGGACACCCUCCACCGGUGACAAUGGCAGAAGGUGAAGGGGAAGCAAGCACAUCUUACCAUGGCGGAUCAGGA
rnacentral:lncRNA from 10 species